UAGGAAUCCAUUUCUGUUUCUCACCU
rnacentral:piRNA from 1 species